UACGUAGGGCGCAAGCGUUGUCCGGAAUCAUUGGGCGUAAAGCGCGUGUAGGCGGUUCGGUAAGUCUGCUGUGAAAGUCCAGGGCUCAACCCUGGGAUGCCGGUGGAUACUGUCGGACUAGAGUACGGAAGAGGCGAGUGGAAUUCCCGGUGUAGCGGUGAAAUGCGCAGAUAUCGGGAGGAACACCAAUUGCGAAGGCAGCUCGCUGGGACGUCACUGACGCUGAGACGCGAAAGCGUGGGGAGCGAACAGG
rnacentral:rRNA from 1 species